rnacentral:rRNA from 1 species
AUUGAACGCUGGCGGCAGGCCUAACACAUGCAAGUCGAACGAGUGGCGGACGGGUGAGUAAUGGCUGGGAAACUGCCUGAUGGAGGGGGAUAACUACUGGAAACGGUAGCUAAUACCGCAUACCAUCAGAUGGGCCCAGGUGGGAUUAGCUAGGUGGGGGGGUAACGGCUCACCAAGGAGACGAUGCCUAGCGGGCCUGAGAGGAUGAUAAGUCACAAUGGGACUGAGAAACGGUCCAGACUCAUACGGGAGGCAGCAGUGGGGAAUAUUUGGCAAUGGGCGAAAGCCUGAUCCAGCCAUGCCGCGUGUGUGAAGAAGGUCGUCGGAUUGUAAAGCACUUUAAGUUGGGAGGCGUUACCAACAGAAUAAGCACCGGCUAACUUCGUGCCAGCAGCCGCGGUAAUUC